AGAGUUUGAUCCUGGCUCAGGAUGAACGCUGGCGGCGUGCUUAACACAUGCAAGUCGAACGAACCUUCGGGUUAGUGGCGGACGGGUGAGUAACGCGUGAGAAUCUGCCCUCAGGAGGGGGAUAACGGCUGGAAACGGCCGCUAAUACCCCAUAUGCCGAGAGGUGAAAUGAGUUUCGCCUGAGGAUGAGCUCGCGUCUGAUUAGCUAGUUGGUGGGGUAAGAGCCUACCAAGGCAUCGAUCAGUAGCUGGUCUGAGAGGAUGAGCAGUCACACUGGGACUGAGACACGGCCCAGACUCCUACGGGAGGCAGCAGUGGGGAAUUUUCCGCAAUGGGCGAAAGCCUGACGGAGCAAGACCGCGUGAGGGAGGAAGGCCCUAGGGUUGUAAACCUCUUUUCUCUGGGAAGAAGAAUGACGGUACCAGAGGAAUAAGCCUCGGCUAACUCCGUGCCAGCAGCCGCGGUAAUACGGAGGAGGCAAGCGUUAUCCGGAAUGAUUGGGCGUAAAGAGUUCGUAGGUGGUAAUGAAAGUUUGCCGUUAAAGACUAAGGCUUAACCUUAGGAGAGCGGUGAAAACUACAUAACUAGAGUAUGGAAGGGGCAGAGGGAAUUCCUGGUGUAGCGGUGAAAUGCGUAGAGAUCAGGAGGAACACCAAUGGCGAAGGCAGGUCUCUGGGCCAUAACUGACACUGAGGAGCGAAAGCGCGGGGAGCGAACAGGAUUAGAUACCCUGGUAGUCCGCGCCGUAAACGAUGGGCACUAGCUGUGAGAGCCUUCCACGGUUCUCGCGACGCAGCAAACGCAUUAAGUAUCCCGCCUGGGGAGUACGCUCGCAAGAGUGAAACUCAAAGGAAUUGACGG
rnacentral:rRNA from 1 species